UUGACGGAGAGUUUGAUCCUGGCUCAGGACGAACGCUGGCGGCGCGCCUAAUACAUGCAAGUCGAACGAGUACGCACUUCGGUGCAAUGUACGAGUGGCGAACGGGUGAGUAACACGUGAGAAACCUGCCUCGGAGACCGGGACAACCAUUGGAAACGAUGGCUAAUACCGGAUGUCCUUACUUGGUCGCAUGAUCGGGUAAGGAAAUGAUCCGUCGCUCCGGGAGGGUCUCGCGGCCUAUCAGCUAGUUGGUGAGGUAAUGGCUCACCAAGGCAUCGACGGGUAGCUGGUCUGAGAGGACGAUCAGCCACACUGG
rnacentral:rRNA from 1 species